UCUCAGCCAAUUAUAAAAUAAACCCCAAUAAAACUUUGAAUUUCACUAAUCAACAUUUAAAUUUUGACUAAAAAAAUUUGGGUGGUAACAAUCACCAUUGCCGUCACUGCCACCAUCCCACCCACAACCAGCACCACCAUUGCCGUCACGAACACCACAUCACCGCAAUAGCACCAACAGGUCCGACACCGACACCAACACCACCAGAAGAUCACCGUCACAUCACCAACGCCACCAAUAAAACCCGAACAUAAUUUCUCUCAGGCAGGUAGCGCCAAACGAACACCACCACCACCACUAAAUUUUGAAGUGACGACUACCAUGAUGUCGUCUAAAGGGAGCAAACUCUACUUGAUCAUCGCAUUGAUGAUCAGAAAAUGAGACGGAAGCGUCGCAUCGGCAUCAGUGCUCCGUGCUUCUUUGCACAGCACAUCGAAGAGAGAGACGGAGAGGCGGCGAAGAGAGAAACGAAGUGACAGCGACUUGUGGCAAAGAGAGAAACUGGACAUGGUGAAGAGAAAGACUCAAAGACAGGAGUUGAACGCACACUGUGGUGUUCCAUUCUAUACACCAGGCUUGGAGGUGGUAGUUGACAGCCACGGUGGCGAUGACAGUCCAUUCGUGGAGGGAGAGGGAAGAGAGAGAAACGAGAGAAAGAGAAUAUGGGAGAAGAGACGAGAUAGAGAGAGGGUAGAUGAUAGUGGGC
rnacentral:lncRNA from 1 species